GGCCAUAUAGUCAAAUAAUGAUAUUAGACUGCAAUUCUAAAGGUGUGAGAUAUUUACUAAGGCUU
rnacentral:tRNA from 1 species